rnacentral:rRNA from 1 species
UACGUAGGGGGCAAGCGUUGUCCGGAAUCAUUGGGCGUAAAGCGCGUGUAGGCGGUUACGUAAGUCUGCUGUGAAAGUCGGAGGCUCAACCUUCGAAAGCCGGUGGAUACUGCGUGACUAGAGUACGGAAGAGGAGAGUGGAAUUCCUGGUGUAGCGGUGAAAUGCGCAGAUAUCAGGAGGAACACCAACGGCGAAGGCGGCUCUCUGGGACGUUACUGACGCUGAGACGCGAAAGCGUGGGGAGCAAACAGG